rnacentral:rRNA from 1 species
AUUGAACGCUGGCGGCAGGCUUAACACAUGCAAGUCGAGCGGAGCGAGGGUGCUUGCACCUUAGCUUAGCGGCGGACGGGUGAGUAAUGCUUAGGAAUCUGCCUAUUAGUGGGGGACAACAUUCCGAAAGGAAUGCUAAUACCGCAUACGCCCUACGGGGGAAAGCAGGGGAUCUUCGGACCUUGUGCUAAUAGAUGAGCCUAAGUCGGAUUAGCUAGUUGGGGGGGUAAAGGCCUACCAAGGCGACGAUCUGUAGCGGGUCUGAGAGGAUGCUCCGCCACACUGGGACUGAGACACGACCCAGACUCCUACGGGAGGCAGCAGUGGGGAAUAUUGGACAAUGGGCGGAAGCCUGAUCCAGCAAUGCCGCGUGUGUGAAGAAGGCCUUAUGGUUGUAAAGCACUUUAAGCGAGGAGGAGGCUCUUUUGGUUAAUACCCAAGAUGAGUGGACGUUACUCGCAGAAUAAGCACCGGCUAACUACGUGCCAGCAGCCGCCGUAA